rnacentral:rRNA from 1 species
CAGGCGUAGCAAUACGUGCUGACGAGCGGCGAACGGGUGCGUAAUACAUGGGAAUCUGCCCUUUGGUGGGGAAUAACCCGGCGAAAGCCGGGCUAAUGCCGCAUAAGAUCUUCGGAUGAAAGCGGGGGAUCGUAAGACCUCGCGCCGAUGGAUGAGCCCAUGUCGGAUUAGCUAGUUGGUGAGGUAACGGCUCACCAAGGCGACGAUCCGUAGCUGGUCUGAGAGGACGGCCAGCCACACUGGGACUGAGACACGGCCCAGACUCCUACGGGAGGCAGCAGUGGGGAAUAUUGGACAAUGGGCGAAAGCCUGAUCCAGCGACGCCGCGUGUGUGAAGAAGGCCUGCGGG